GUGCACCAGACGAGAAACCUCCGCAAUACACGAAAGUGUGACGGGGCCAUCCCGAGUGCCGUCCGCUGAGGACGGCUUUUCCCCAGUGUACACAGCUGGGGGAAUAAGGAGAGGGCAAGCCUGGUGUCAGCCGCCGCGGUAAUACCAGCUCUCCGAGUGGUGGGGACGCUUAUUGGGCCUAAAGCAUCCGUAGCCGGCUGGGCAAGUCCUCCGUUAAAUCCAACGAUCCAAUCGUUGGGCUGCGGGGGAUACUGUCCAGCUUGGGGGCGGGAGAGGCCGACGGUAUUCCCGGGGUAGGGGUGAAAUCCUAUAAUCCCGGGAGGACCACCAGUGGCGAAGGCUGUCGGCUAGAACGCGCCCGACGGUGAGGGAUGAAAGCUGGGGGAGCGAACCGGAUUAGAUCCGGGUAGU
rnacentral:rRNA from 1 species